rnacentral:rRNA from 1 species
GGGUUGUGAGGUUAAGCGACUAAGCGUACACGGUGGAUGCCCUGGCAGUCAGAGGCGAUGAAGGACGUGCUAAUCUGCGAUAAGCGUCGGUAAGGUGAUAUGAACCGUUAUAACCGGCGAUUUCCGAAUGGGGAAACCCAGUGUGAUUUGUCACACUAUCAUUAACUGAAUCCAUAGGUUAAUGAGGCGAACCGGGGGAACUGAAACAUCUAAGUACCCCGAGGAAAAGAAAUCAACCGAGAUUCCCCCAGUAGCGGCGAGCGAACGGGGAGGAGCCCAGAGCCUGAAUCAGUGUGUGUGUUAGUGGAAGCGUCUGGAAAGGCGCGCGAUACAGGGUGACAGCCCCGUACACAAAAAUGCACAUGCUGUGAGCUCGAUGAGUAGGGCGGGACACGUGGUAUCCUGUCUGAAUAUGGGGGGACCAUCCUCCAAGGCUAAAUACUCCUGACUGACCGAUAGUGAACCAGUACCGUGAGGGAAAGGCGAAAAGAACCCCGGCGAGGGGAGUGAAAAAGAACCUGAAACCGUGUACGUACAAGCAGUGGGAGCACGCUUCGGCGUGUGACUGCGUACCUUUUGUAUAAUGGGUCAGCGACUUAUAUUCUGUAGCAAGGUUAACCGAAUAGGGGAGCCGAAGGGAAACCGAGUCUUAACUGGGCGUUAAGUUGCAGGGUAUAGACCCGAAACCCGGUGAUCUAGCCAUGGGCAGGUUGAAGGUUGGGUAACACUAACUGGAGGACCGAACCGACUAAUGUUGAAAAAUUAGCGGAUGACUUGUGGCUGGGGGUGAAAGGCCAAUCAAACCGGGAGAUAGCUGGUUCUCCCCGAAAGCUAUUUAGGUAGCGCCUCGUGAAUUCAUCUCCGGGGGUAGAGCACUGUUUCGGCAAGGGGGUCAUCCCGACUUACCAACCCGAUGCAAACUGCGAAUACCGGAGAAUGUUAUCACGGGAGACACACGGCGGGUGCUAACGUCCGUCGUGAAGAGGGAAACAACCCAGACCGCCAGCUAAGGUCCCAAAGUCAUGGUUAAGUGGGAAACGAUGUGGGAAGGCCCAGACAGCCAGGAUGUUGGCUUAGAAGCAGCCAUCAUUUAAAGAAAGCGUAAUAGCUCACUGGUCGAGUCGGCCUGCGCGGAAGAUGUAACGGGGCUAAACCAUGCACCGAAGCUGCGGCAGCGACACUAUGUGUUGUUGGGUAGGGGAGCGUUCUGUAAGCCUGUGAAGGUGUGCUGUGAGGCAUGCUGGAGGUAUCAGAAGUGCGAAUGCUGACAUAAGUAACGAUAAAGCGGGUGAAAAGCCCGCUCGCCGGAAGACCAAGGGUUCCUGUCCAACGUUAAUCGGGGCAGGGUGAGUCGACCCCUAAGGCGAGGCCGAAAGGCGUAGUCGAUGGGAAACAGGUUAAUAUUCCUGUACUUGGUGUUACUGCGAAGGGGGGACGGAGAAGGCUAUGUUGGCCGGGCGACGGUUGUCCCGGUUUAAGCGUGUAGGCUGGUUUUCCAGGCAAAUCCGGAAAAUCAAGGCUGAGGCGUGAUGACGAGGCACUACGGUGCUGAAGCAACAAAUGCCCUGCUUCCAGGAAAAGCCUCUAAGCAUCAGGUAACAUCAAAUCGUACCCCAAACCGACACAGGUGGUCAGGUAGAGAAUACCAAGGCGCUUGAGAGAACUCGGGUGAAGGAACUAGGCAAAAUGGUGCCGUAACUUCGGGAGAAGGCACGCUGAUAUGUAGGUGAAGUCCCUCGCGGAUGGAGCUGAAAUCAGUCGAAGAUACCAGCUGGCUGCAACUGUUUAUUAAAAACACAGCACUGUGCAAACACGAAAGUGGACGUAUACGGUGUGACGCCUGCCCGGUGCCGGAAGGUUAAUUGAUGGGGUUAGCCGCAAGGCGAAGCUCUUGAUCGAAGCCCCGGUAAACGGCGGCCGUAACUAUAACGGUCCUAAGGUAGCGAAAUUCCUUGUCGGGUAAGUUCCGACCUGCACGAAUGGCGUAAUGAUGGCCAGGCUGUCUCCACCCGAGACUCAGUGAAAUUGAACUCGCUGUGAAGAUGCAGUGUACCCGCGGCAAGACGGAAAGACCCCGUGAACCUUUACUAUAGCUUGACACUGAACAUUGAGCCUUGAUGUGUAGGAUAGGUGGGAGGCUUUGAAGUGUGGACGCCAGUCUGCAUGGAGCCGACCUUGAAAUACCACCCUUUAAUGUUUGAUGUUCUAACGUUGACCCGUAAUCCGGGUUGCGGACAGUGUCUGGUGGGUAGUUUGACUGGGGCGGUCUCCUCCUAAAGAGUAACGGAGGAGCACGAAGGUUGGCUAAUCCUGGUCGGACAUCAGGAGGUUAGUGCAAUGGCAUAAGCCAGCUUGACUGCGAGCGUGACGGCGCGAGCAGGUGCGAAAGCAGGUCAUAGUGAUCCGGUGGUUCUGAAUGGAAGGGCCAUCGCUCAACGGAUAAAAGGUACUCCGGGGAUAACAGGCUGAUACCGCCCAAGAGUUCAUAUCGACGGCGGUGUUUGGCACCUCGAUGUCGGCUCAUCACAUCCUGGGGCUGAAGUAGGUCCCAAGGGUAUGGCUGUUCGCCAUUUAAAGUGGUACGCGAGCUGGGUUUAGAACGUCGUGAGACAGUUCGGUCCCUAUCUGCCGUGGGCGCUGGAGAACUGAGGGGGGCUGCUCCUAGUACGAGAGGACCGGAGUGGACGCAUCACUGGUGUUCGGGUUGUCAUGCCAAUGGCACUGCCCGGUAGCUAAAUGCGGAAGAGAUAAGUGCUGAAAGCAUCUAAGCACGAAACUUGCCCCGAGAUGAGUUCUCCCUGACUCCCUGAGAGUCCUGAAGGAACGUUGAAGACGACGACGUUGAUAGGCCGGGUGUGUAAGCGCAGCGAUGCGUUGAGCUAACCGGUACUAAUGAACCGUGAGGCUUAACCUUACAACGCCGAAG